UAUAGCACCACUCCUCCAUAUGUUCUAUUCCAGAAAACUCAACUUUUCUCUCUUGCCCAUGAGGCAGGCCAACUCUGCUUUUGCUCCUUUCAGCCCCUCUCUCUAGGAUUUGUUCUCCUAAUAGUCUAACUUUCCUGUUCCUACGGCCGGCACAAAUGCCAUGAUGGCUUUCCCUGAACUCCUCAACUGGAAGUGGGGACCCCUUCUUAACCUACUGGUCACUUGUUUGACUUGUGGAUGAUGCUAGAAAAUUCGAAUUACCUUGAAUUACAUCUAUUUGUUAUAUGGUUUGUACUGUUAUCUGGCUGGGACUCUUAAAGACAAACACAGCACCAUAUCCUGUCUCCUCCCCAGAGCUGUUACUCUGUGAAGUAAGAGCUUAAUAAGUAUCUGAAUGAACAAAGGGCUUCAUGAGAUCCAAGGGCCCUCCUAACAUGAACUCUCUGUGAUUUAAAAGUGACAUCACAACUGUUCUGAAGGAAGGUUGACAAGAAUCCAUUUAGAAAUAAGAUACUGUUUACAACAUUAUAAUUGAGGCUUGUCCAAUCAAAAACUAAAUUGUUUUGGCUACAUUAUUCUUGUUUCUUUUAAAAAAACCCACACAACCCAUUCAAGGUUCUUGAAAAGAAGCUGCAAAGAACACCUCCGAAUGUGCUCGGUGGCUUUGUUGGGAGAACUUUAGGAGCGCUGGAGCCUGUUCAUGGAACGGUUUUGAGGUGGAGGCCAAAGAGAUCUCAGGGGAGAGAGCAAACUGGAGCGAAGUGGGAUGAUCUGUCACUACACCUGCAGCACCACGCUCGGAGGACAGCUCCUGCUCGCAGCUUCCAGACUCAGGUAAAAAAAAAAAAAAAAAUUGUGAGCGGGCUCCGUGCAUGCAUUUCAAUACCAGAUGCGCGUCGCAACCUAGCCCCUGUAGAGGCAAUCUGCUGCUGCUGCUGCUGCUGCUGCUAAGUGUCCUUUGGUGGCUGAUUGCAGCUUCAAGGUUUAAGAAAUCCCAUCUUUCAGGAAGCCUGAGGGGAAGGAAGGAAGUACGGGCGAAAUCAUCAGAUUGGCUUCCCAGAUUUGGGGAUCUGAAGCGGGCCCACGUCUUCCGGCCAACUUCCAUUGAACUUCCAGCACUCGAAAGGGACCGAAAUGGAGAGCAAAGAAAAAGCAUAUGCUGGCUUUUUAGCUGAAACAAACCCCAUCACCAGUGAAUCAGAGGACGCAGAUAAGUGAAAACUGCUAUUAGCCUGAGAAGCAGUGGCAAAGGGAUUACUCUGUAGAAAAACAACAACAACAACAACAACAACAAAACACCCAGAAGCUUUCAGAGGCCAUUCAGAAGAUAACUAAACCCAGCAAAAAUUCCCUUAACCAGAAGUCAGGAGGAUGCAGCAAUGCCAAUCUGCCAAUAAUGUGUCCAUCUCUCCUUACCCCAUUCAUUCCUACAGUUAUCACCCAUGUGAAACAAUUGGGUUUUUCUUCAAUCCUCAAAUACUGAUAAUGUUCAAAUCGGUCGAGCAAAUAUUACACAUUAAUUGGGACAUUCCUUUUCAACUUUUUGGAAACCAAAAACCUAGAUAUGUUUCUGACUUCCAAAAAAAUAUGACAUAAUUAUUCUAAUUGUUAAAAUCUGCUAUGUUUAAAAUUAGAUUAUUUAUACAAUUUUCU
ensembl:lncRNA